UAUUUUUGUUUGAAAUAUAGUUUUUUAUUUCAUAUCAUGGUUCUAAAAAUAAAAAUAUAUAAUGUGGGUUGGAGUCGGGGGAGAGUUGCACGGUACGGCUAGGCGCAAGCGCGCAAGUCACUUAUAAUAUUAUAUAUAUAGGGAUUGUUUAAUUAUAAAUACUAAUAAUUAUUAGCUAAUGAAAAUUAUUCAUGUAUUAAUAGUUAUAGCUCAAACUAGCACUUUUUUUCAAGAGUUUUUCAGUUUGAGAUAAAACUAUUUUUAUUUUAUGCCGUUUGUAUAUUAAAAAUUAUUUAAUUGUCAUACUUAGUAGAUAGGUAGUUCUUAAUUGUAAUUUAUUAAUAAGAGUGCUAUACCGAGUGCAUAAAUUAUAUGACUGAAUGAUGUAUUCAAUUGUUUUUGGCCACUUCCUGUUUCACCGGAAAUUACUACAACUUUUGACUUUUAAAU